CCUACGGGAGGCAGCAGUGAGGAAUAUUGGUCAAUGGACGCAAGUCUGAACCAGCCAAGUAGCGUGCAGGAUGACGGCCCUCCGGGUUGUAAACUGCUUUUAGUUGGGAAUAAAAGGGGGCCCGUGAGCCCCGUAUUGUAUGUACCAUCAGAAAAAGGACCGGCUAAUUCCGUGCCAGCAGCCGCGGUAAUACGGAAGGUCCGGGCGUUAAGCGGAUUUUUUGGGUUUAAAGGGAGCGUGAGGCGGCUUUUGAGUCAGCUGGUAAAGGCCGGGGCUCAACCGGGGGAUUGACGUUUAAAACUGGAGGCGUGAGGUGCAAACAGGGAUGCGGGAUGCGUGGUGUAGCGGUGAAAUGCUUAGAUAUCAUGAAGAACUCCGAUCGCGAAGGCAAGUGUCCGGGGUGAAACUGACGCUGAGGCUCGAAAGUGCGGGUAUCAAACAGGAUUAGAUACCCUGGUAGUC
rnacentral:rRNA from 1 species